rnacentral:rRNA from 1 species
UGCAUAUCAAUAAGCGGAGGAAAAGAAACCAACAGGGAUUGCCUCAGUAACGGCGAGUGAAGCGGCAAAAGCUCAAAUUUGAAAUCCCCCCGGGGAGUUGUAAUUUGAAGAUUGCGUCUUGGAGGCGACCGUGUCUAUGUUCCUUGGAACAGGACGUCACAGAGGGUGAGAAUCCCGUGCGGCACGGCCCCCGGCUCCUUAUAAGGCGCUCUCGACGAGUCGAGUUGUUUGGGAAUGCAGCUCAAAGUGGGUGGUAAAUUCCAUCUAAAGCUAAAUACAGGCGAGAGACCGAUAGCGAACAAGUACAGUGAUGGAAAGAUGAAAAGCACUUUGAAAAGAGAGUGAAACAGCACGUGAAAUUGUUGAAAGGGAAGGGCAUGCCGUCAGAUUGUCAGUGUGGGUAAGAAGCGGGGUACAAAGACUGUGGAACGUGGCCCUCGGGUGUUAUAGCCGCAGUUCAUGCCCCGUCUCUUUCCGAGGCCUGCUUUGAGGACACCGACGUAAUGACGGUACGCCGCCCGUCUUGAAACAC